AGGAAUAUUGGUCAAUGGGCGAGAGCCUGAACCAGCCAAGUAGCGUGAAGGAUGAAGGCUCUAUGGGUCGUAAACUUCUUUUAUAUGGGAAUAAAGUUUUCCACGUGUGGAAUUUUGUAUGUACCAUAUGAAUAAGGAUCGGCUAACUCCGUGCCAGCAGCCGCGGUAAUACGGAGGAUCCGAGCGUUAUCCGGAUUUAUUGGGUUUAAAGGGAGCGUAGGUGGAUUGUUAAGUCAGUUGUGAAAGUUUGCGGCUCAACCGUAAAAUUGCAGUUGAUACUGGCGUCCUUGAGUGCGGUUGAGGUGUGCGGAAUUCGUGGUGUAGCGGUGAAAUGCUUAGAUAUCACGAAGAACUCCGAUUGCGAAGGCAGCACACUAAGCCGUAACUGACGUUCAUGCUCGAAAGUGUGGGUAUCAAACAGGAUUAGAUACCCUGGUAGUCCACACGGUAAACGAUGGAUACUCGCUGUUGGCGAUAUACUGUCAGCGGCUUAGCGAAAGCGUUAAGUAUCCCACCUGGGGAGUACGCCGGCAACGGUGAAACUCAAAGGAAUUGACGGGGGCCCGCACAAGCGGAGGAACAUGUGGUUUAAUUCGAUGAUACGCGAGGAACCUUACCCGGGCUUAAAUUGCAAAGGAAUAAUCUGGAAACAGAUUAGUCUUCGGACCUUUGUGAAGGUGCUGCAUGGUUGUCGUCAGCUCGUGCCGUGAGGUGUCGGCUUAAGUGCCAUAACGAGCGCAACCCUCGCCGCCAGUUACUAACAGUUAAAGCUGAGGACUCUGGCGGGACUGCCAUCGUAAGAUGUGAGGAAGGUGGGGAUGACGUCAAAUCAGCACGGCCCUUACGUCCGGGGCUACACACGUGUUACAAUGGGCGGUACAGAAGGCAGCUACCUGGCGACAGGAUGCCAAUCCCGAAAGCCGCUCUCAGUUCGGACUGGAGUCUGCAACCCGACUCCACGAAGCUGGAUUCGCUAGUAAUCGCGCAUCAGCCACGGCGCGGUGAAUACGUUCCCG
rnacentral:rRNA from 1 species